UUGCCUUAGUAACUGCGAGUGAAGCGGCAAGAGCUCAAAUUUGAAAUCUGGCACCUUCGGUGUCCGAGUUGUAAUUUGUAGAAGCAUCUUUUGGAUUGGUCCUUGCAUAUGUUCCUUGGAACAGGACAUCAUAGAGGGUGAGAAUCCCGUUCAUGGUGGGGAAUCCAAUUCUUUGUAAAGUGCUUUCGAAGAGUCGAGUUGUUUGGGAAUGCAGCUCUAAGUGGGUGGUAAAUUCCAUCUAAAGCUAAAUAUUGGCGAGAGACCGAUAGCGAACAAGUACAGUGAUGGAAAGAUGAAAAGAACUCCGAAAGGAGAGUGAAAAAGGACGUGAAAUUGUUGAAAGGGAAGUGCUUGAGAUCAGUCUUAAGGUUUAGUGAUCAGUCUUCCUUUUGGUUGGUGCACUCACUAUUUCUUAGGCCAACAUCAGUUUUCGCGGCAGGAUAAUGACAUUGGAAUGUGGCUCUUUCGGGAGUGUUAUAGCCUUUGUUGAUACUGCCUGCUUAGACUGAGGACCGCGCUUUUGCUAGGAUGUUGGCAUAAUGAUCUUAAG
rnacentral:rRNA from 1 species